GUCUUAGCUCCUGCCAAUGCAACAUAGCCAUCAGUAGAAAAGUUUUGCUUUUGGCCUCAAAGAAAGGAAAACCAUGGCUUACUGGGAGUGGGAAAUCGUCUUGUCCAGUUCCUAGCCUUACCCUGUGAAGUACUGCAGAUUUCUUACAAAUUGAUGUUCAUAUAAAAUGUGUUACUUGGCCUGGGGACGAGGAUGAGAAUCCAAAUUCUAGCAGAGGAGAGUGGAGAUGAUUACCUUCUGCUUAAAAACUCCUGUGAGCUGAGUGUUGGUGGAGCCUUUGUCAAACACCCAAGACUCAGAAAGAGUUAACCCACAGGCACCUGCCUGUGCUGAGUGUGUCUGGUACCCUGACUGGGCAACUGCAUCUAACAGCCUAUUUCCUGCCUCCGGAUCACCACCAGAGCUUGUACCCUGCUCUCGAGGAGCCACAAACCAGCUCCAGCACUUGUCUGGGAACACACGAACUCCUAGAGCCACAACAAGACAUCAACUUUUAUUUUCUUUCUCAAUAAGCCUAAAAUAAUUGAUAACCCUUUAUGGCUGGUUUUUACUGUUUAGGCAUUCGGGUGGAUACUUUCUCUUCUUGCCUGCUGCAAGCUCAGUGGACUGCCCACAAACAGGUCCACUGCCAGAAUGUCCUCACAGUCUUCUUAAUGACUUGCUGUGGGGACAGGCAUAGCUGACGUUGAUUUGCACAUACAUCUGUUUACCUCCGCAGUGAUCUCCACAGAAAACAGGCUGCCAUUGCCAGCUGUUGCUAUAACUCCUUGCCAGUAAUUACCGAGGGCCUCCAUCACAUCAAAUAACUUUUCUCUGGAAGCACUGGUAGGAAAGAGCUUUUUGUCAAAGAAAGGCAAGAGGAAGCACCUGUCGGAGUUAAUUGGCAGAACGCUCAGAAGGGUCACAUCUGUGGUUAGUUUUGUUCUCAGCCAGGGGGCACUCCAAUCAACGUCACUUAGGAGAGCGAUGAACAGCAGGCUGCUGGGUACGCUGUGGAGCUGGAAGGAUGCUUUCUAUCGCUGUCACUGCACGAAGCUGCCAUGUAUUGUAACAGCGUGAUUUUAGUCGCUUGCCCAUUCUGGUUGCUAAAUACUGUUUCCGUGCCCUUUAUUUCUUCAGUUCUCAUCCCCAUUUUGCAAACUUGUUCACCCAAAGUGGAGACACGGUACAAAGCACAUCAGUGGGUUAUACGUUCUGCUCCCAGGCAACAAACAAACAAACAAACAAACAACGCCCGGGCACGGCGCUUUGGUUCGCUUUCCGCGGAGCACUUCGCGGUUCCGGCUUUUGGCAGCGUCAGUGACAGCCGCGGCAGCGGCCAG
ensembl:lncRNA